GGACUUAACAAGCAGCUGGAACUUGUUCUCACUGGCGCUAACAGAAAAACAGCUUUAUAAACCAUUGCUGUAUGCUGUUGAACAAAGAUGCCCGAUUCAUGCUUUAAAAGGAGGCUCCUGGAAGAACAGCCUGAAGACACUGUCUCAGAUCAAAAGCAGCCUCAAAAGGACAUCUUUUUCAAAUUCAAUUACUGACUCUGGGGACUUACAUGGAGGAGUUAUGGUUAUGAAGAAGAAAAGAUCAACCACUUGGAUCUGAAGAUGUUUACAGCAUUAAGAUAGAUGGAUUAUUCAAGGUCGGAUCCUAAUAUUUUCUCUUCUGAUGAGACAAUUUAAAAAGAUAAGUGCCGAUUUUUGCUUUCAGAGUCAUCAGCUCUGUAUUUUUCCCCUUGUCUCCUGACAUUCUCUUGGAUUUGUGGUGUUAAUUACAUUCCACUAACCUUGGCUUCUAGAAUGCCAAGACUCUUAGCUGCUAAGAUCCACAAAUAACAUCAAUUAGAUAAAUGGGGCGUUUCCACUCUCUCAUGCAACCCUGUUGGAUCUGCAAGUGCAGCGCUAAUAACUCCUAGGAUUCUGCUGCAUGGUCCUGACUUCAAAUAUUUUGAGAAUGAAUGUAAAUUAGAGUAUUUCGACUUUUAGUUUGGAUAAUAUAAUCACUAUAUAUAUGAAAUAUUAAAACUUUGAAAUGAAAAUUGUUCUCAUUUUAAAACUCCAGG
rnacentral:lncRNA from 1 species